rnacentral:snRNA from 1 species
AGCUUUGCGCAGUGGCAGUAUCGUAGCCAAUGAGGUUUAUCCGAGGCGCGAUUAUUGCUAAUUGAAAAGCACACGAACUAUAAUGUCUGUAGAAAAGGGAGGAUAACUUUUUUUAAUAUAUUCUUUUGAUAUUAAACAUUAG